UACGUAGGGGGCAAGCGUUGUUCGGAAUUACUGGGCGUAAAGGGCGCGUAGGCGGCAGGCCAAGUCGGGAGUGAAAGCCCGGGGCUCAACCCCGGAAUGUCUUUCGAAACUGGCCAGCUUGAGUGCGGAAGAGGCAACUGGAAUUCCCAGUGUAGCGGUGAAAUGCGUAGAUAUUGGGAAGAACACCUGAGGCGAAGGCGGGUUGCUGGGCCGACACUGACGCUGAGGCGCGAAAGCCAGGGGAGCAAACAGG
rnacentral:rRNA from 1 species